UAAAAUGCUGUUCCCAGUCCAGUGUGGUGA
rnacentral:piRNA from 1 species